rnacentral:rRNA from 1 species
GGACGAUCAGCCACACUGGGACUGAGACACGGCCCAGACUCCUACGGGAGGCAGCAGUGGGGAAUCUUGCGCAAUGGGCGAAAGCCUGACGCAGCAACGCCGCGUGGGGAUGAAGGCUCUCGGGUUGUAAACCCCUUUCAGCAGGGACGAAUCAAGACGGUACCUGCAGAAGAAGCCCCGGCUAACUACGUGCCAGCAGCCGCGGUAACACGUAGGGGGCAAGCGUUGUCCGGAUUUAUUGGGCGUAAAGAGCUCGUAGGUGGCUGAGUAAGUCGGAUGUCAAAUCCCCAGGCUCAACCUGGGAUCCCAUCCGAUACUGCUCUGGCUAGAGUCCGGUAGGGGAGCGUGGAAUUCCUGGUGUAGCGGUGAAAUGCGCAGAUAUCAGGAGGAACACCAGCGGCGAAGGCGGCGGCUCUGGGCCGGUACUGACACUGAGGAGCGAAAGCGUGGGUAGCAAACAGGAUUAGAUACCUGGUAGUCCACGCCGUAAACGUUGGGC